UCCAGCGCCUAUCAUUUAAGGGAUGAAAAAUAAUAGUACAGGUUGACUCUUGCAUUGGGGAGAUGGAUAGAAGAGAGGUGAGAGACUAGAGUGGAAAGUCUUGUGCAGCGAUUUUGCGGGAGGGUGCCAGGCAAGUGCGCAUCCACCUUAUCUUAGUUUUCGGGAGAGGAUAUCCUCAGUUAUGAAUGAUUCUACCUUCAGUCGUCCAUCGCACUCCAUCGCAGGGCAUCGCAACUAAAGCACAGUUAUUUGUCGCUCGCAUCCUCACACCAUGGUGGGACUCGUGCUAACCAUGACGGUACUUUCAACCACAAUGAACCUCGUCGCCUCCCCUACAAUCCGAGACUGUGUUGAUGAAAUGGUGCAAGGCAACGACUGGACCCGAGUUAAAACGUUUACUUCCGAGAAAUGGAAACUGUUAUUCUUCCCUAUGCCAGGGUUUGAUGGUGUCAGAAUAAGAGCUAUUGUUGGUGGUAAAAAUUAUACAACAGAAGUUACCCCACAAGCUCUGUGUGUGGACGGUUCUCGGUGGUAUACACUUGAGGUGGAGCUGACUGCCAAAUACUCGUACUUAGCUUUCAUCUUCCUGUAUUCUCACAAGUGGAAAUUUAAAAGUAAUGAUUGCGAAGAUGAAAUACCUGACUAUGUUUUCAGUGAGUUUGAGGAGCUCAGCGUUGAUGCCCGUGGAGCUUCAUUCUGGUCAUUAGAAUACACUAGCGAUAACAGACUGUGCGCCACUCCCAUUGGCGCCCUCACCACACCUGCCGUUACUAGAGCUGAGACUAGCAUCAUAUUCCUCAAACCUUCGAGCACCCUCAAGAUAUGGCUUGCAAGUCUGGGCGGCGCAGUAGUGACCUUUAUGUUGUUAACAUUGGUCUUCAUUGUAGCACUAACGAUAUAGGAUCCUCACCGAUGACGGAAGAACAUUCUCGCUCGUGCUGUUCCGCCCGCCUAUAUUGCAUCGCUACGCGCCCGAUGACGACGGCAAUGCAAUCAACGAGUACCUGAAAAUUGUUGAACUUCAGGUAGAAUGUGCACUUAAGACUCCGUAAGUUGGCACGCCCAAAACUGAUCUCCAAAAUCAUCUGGUUUUGUGAUUGUGAUGUCACAAACUCAAAUCAAUAUCUCAUCUUUCUCUACGGCGUGUAGUUGUGCGAUUAUGGGGAUGGAAACAGGCAGUGUGUAGGGACGCACUCCAUCAGGCGCGGCACCAGCAAGUCCUGCUGCACAAAGUGAGCUACGUGGAAGAACCACUGAAAGUUAUAGAAAACUACCAUAAACCGGCGUUUCAAAUAUAUGUACGUAAACUCGUCGAUGAUGACAUAAGAUAGCGUAUCUUAGAAAAUUAUUAGAUUAACAUGGAAGUAUGCAUGACUUCGCAGAUUAAUAAUUGGACUUCAGGACGUAGAAUAGGAUACUUCAUUGUUCUCCUGGGUGUCAAGAGAGAGAGAGAGAGAGAGAGAGAGAGAGAGAGAGAGAGAGAGAGAGAGAGAGAGAGAGAGAGAGAGAGAGAGAGAGAGAGAGAGAGAGAGAGAGAGAUAUUGGACUGUUUCCCGUAUCCAGUAUCACGGUGUAUGUAACUCCACCAGAUUCAUUCUCGUGUGAUUUUUGGUGCCUGCUUUCAUUGCAAAAUUCAGUGGAUCUGUUUGCUUCUUCCUCAUCAUCAUGUACUGUUUUCUUUGACAGCUUUUCUCCUCGAUCAGCACUUGUUGUUGCUGCUGCUGUUAUUUUUUCUCCUCCUCCUUCUCCUCCUCCUCCUCCGCCUCUUCAUCACCACCCCAGCCACCACAGUCCUUUUUCACCCUCAUCUUUCUUCUCUUCUUCUCUUUGUAUAAAACAUUCCAUUUUAGACUCACCUCCUCUCUCCAUCCGCCCAAUGUCUCUGGGAGGAAAAGUUGAGUUCUGAGGAGGAGGAGGAGGAGGAGGACAGGGCCAGCGGUCACCUCGUAACUUCCAAUGGGCUUCCUCUACGGCUGUAUCUACGACGAGGUACAUUUCUUUGACUUCCGUUCCCAUCUCCCUUUCUCUCUCUCUCUCUCUCUCUCUCUCUCUGUCUCAUCCGUAUCCUGUUGCUUACUCCUCCUCCUCUUCCUUCUCCUCCUCUUCCUCCUCCUCCUCCUCCUCCUCCUCCUCCUCCUCAUUUCUGUCUCUUUAAUUUUCCUCAUUCCCUCUCUUUUCCUCCUUCCUGUUCAACCAUUUCUCAGCUUUUUUUUUUCCAGAUCUCUUCUCUUGAUUGUUUUUCUUCCUUUCCUCUUCCUUUCGUUUUCCUUACUCUUGCUUAUUACAAGAAAGAAUACAGUAAUAAUAGAAAUAAAAAUACAUAUUGAGAAUUUCACGAUUUGGCAUCAACUCAUCUGUUCCACUCAUCCCCCCCCCCCGUUUACUUAUACCCUGUUAUCCAUUUAUUCAUCCAUUUACCUUAUUUGAUAAUUUUUUUUAGUAUCAAACAGGUGAUCCUUCUGUCCUAAGUCUCUCUCUCUCUCUCUCUCUCUCUCUCUCUCUCUCUCCUCGGAAUAAUAAAGAAAAAAAAAAGCCAGAGAGCAAAUGCAUCAAAGGAUUUCAAAAUCUACUUUGGUCUGCCCUCUCUUGUGCUCCUUCUGCUUCCCUUUCCCCCAACCGCCCAUUCCUCCCCUCCUCACCAACCUUCCCAAAUUCCUCCGCGCUAAGAUCCCUACUUUCCCUUUCUCUUUCAACUCUUUCAAUUCUUGUUCCACCUCUCUUCCAUCUCUCCCAUCCACCCCAUUAAGCCUUCUUCCCUUUUCUUUUUCCUCUUCACAUCUUUAUUUCAAGUUUCUCUCUUUCCACCCAUCUUAUGAGAAACACCCGCAACAGGGAAUGAUGAAAAGAUGAAAAACAGCGGAAAAGGAGGAAAGAAUGUAAGGAAGGGAAAAAUAGAGGACUACAUGAAAUAGCUGAAAAAUAUAUAAGAUGAAAGAAGGUACAAAAAUGGUGAGAGAGAGAGAGAGAGAGAGAGAGAGAGAGAGAGAGAGAGAGAGAGAGAGAGAGAGAGAGAGAGAGAGAGAGAGAAUGUGAGUGGGUCGAAAAAUGGAGAGGCGUCUCAAGAAGAUGGUUUCCAAGGCCUCCAUGACAGAAUGAGAUUAUGAGAAAUAAUAGUCUCGACAAGACGUGUAUGUAUGAAUGAGAGAGAGAGAGAGAGAGAGAGAGAGAGAGAGAGAGAGAGAGAGAGAGAGAGAGAGAGAGAGAGAGAGAGAGAGAGAGAGAGAGAGAGAGAGAGAGAGAGAGAGAGAGAGUGUGUGUGUGUGUGUGUGUGUGUGUGU